rnacentral:rRNA from 1 species
UGCAGUCGAACGCUUCUUUUUCCACCGGAGCUUGCUCCACCGGAAAAAGAGGAGUGGCGAACGGGUGAGUAACACGUGGGUAACCUGCCCAUCAGAAGGGGAUAACACUUGGAAACAGGUGCUAAUACCGUAUAACAAUCGAAACCGCAUGGUUUUGAUUUGAAAGGCGCUUUCGGGUGUCGCUGAUGGAUGGACCCGCGGUGCAUUAGCUAGUUGGUGAGGUAACGGCUCACCAAGGCGACGAUGCAUAGCCGACCUGAGAGGGUGAUCGGCCACAUUGGGACUGAGACACGGCCCAAACUCCUACGGGAGGCAGCAGUAGGGAAUCUUCGGCAAUGGACGAAAGUCUGACCGAGCAACGCCGCGUGAGUGAAGAAGGUUUUCGGAUCGUAAAACUCUGUUGUUAGAGAAGAACAAGGAUGAGAGUAACUGUUCAUCCCUUGACGGUAUCUAACCAGAAAGCCACGGCUAACUACGUGCCAGCAGCCCGGUAAUA